GUACACCCUGCGGGAGGCAGCAGUGGGGAAUUUUGGACAAUGGGCGAAAGCCUGAUCCAGCAAUGCCGCGUGUGUGAAGAAGGCCUUCGGGUUGUAAAGCACUUUUGUCCGGAAAGAAAUCCUUGGCUCUAAUACAGUCGGGGGAUGACGGUACCGGAAGAAUAAGCACCGGCUAACUACGUGCCAGCAGCCGCGGUAAUACGUAGGGUGCGAGCGUUAAUCGGAAUUACUGGGCGUAAAGCGUGCGCAGGCGGUUUGCUAAGACCGAUGUGAAAUCCCCGGGCUCAACCUGGGAACUGCAUUGGUGACUGGCAGGCUAGAGUAUGGCAGAGGGGGGUAGAAUUCCACGUGUAGCAGUGAAAUGCGUAGAGAUGUGGAGGAAUACCGAUGGCGAAGGCAGCCCCCUGGGCCAAUACUGACGCUCAUGCACGAAAGCGUGGGGAGCAAACAGGAUUAGAAACCCCAGUAGUCCCAUGAU
rnacentral:rRNA from 1 species